rnacentral:tRNA from 2 species
GAGAAAGUACGCAAGAACUGCUAACUCAUGCUACCAGGCCUAAUAACCCGGCUUUCUCU